CCUACGGGAGGCAGCAGUGGGGAAUAUUGCACAAUGGGCGAAAGCCUGAUGCAGCGACGCCGCGUGAGGGAUGACGGCCUUCGGGUUGUAAACCUCUUUCAGCAGGGACGAAGCGCAAGUGACGGUACCUGCAGAAGAAGCACCGGCUAACUACGUGCCAGCAGCCGCGGUAAUACGUAGGGUGCAAGCGUUGUCCGGAAUUACUGGGCGUAAAGAGUUCGUAGGCGGUUUGUCGCGUCGUUUGUGAAAACCAGCAGCUCAACUGCUGGCUUGCAGGCGAUACGGGCAGACUUGAGUACUGCAGGGGAGACUGGAAUUCCUGGUGUAGCGGUGAAAUGCGCAGAUAUCAGGAGGAACACCGGUGGCGAAGGCGGGUCUCUGGGCAGUAACUGACGCUGAGGAACGAAAGCGUGGGUAGCGAACAGGAUUAGAUACCCUGGUAGUC
rnacentral:rRNA from 1 species